UCGCAAUGUAGGCACAGCGUAUGUGCCAUAUAUGCCGCUGCUGGCACCGCGUGCAGUGGCAAUGAUGGCGGUGUCCCCGGGUGAGACCUAUUGUGCGAGGACGAUACAGUAUUAUAAUAUUAUAUACCUGAGGGUGUCCAAAAGACAAACAAAGGGGAUGCCGAAAACGAGUUUCACCUUUGGAAACUUUCACUUUACGUUAUUUAUUGCCCGGCGUGCGUGCGUGCGUCCGUGUAUAUUUUUACUGUGCACAAUAAUUCCGAUGACAGUGCACGUACCCACACGUGUAUAAUGCGUGUGUGUGUGUGUGUGUGUGUGUGUGUGUGUGUGUGUGUGUGUGUGCAUGGUACCCACAAGCCCCCAGUCGAAAAUCGUCGCAUUUCGUCGAACACGUCCGCGCUGGAAUCAUCACCGUCGUUCAACGCCGCCGCCGCCGCCGCCGCAGCCGCCGCCGAGCAUAAUACUUUACAGUGUGCACGUUCGAUUCAAUUAUUAGUGAAUUUGAUGGAUUGCUACAAGUUUUCAGUGCAUGCUGUAGCCCAAGUGCAUAUAGCGGUCAUUAUUCCAUACCUACUCAGUAUAAUUGCACUUGCAGUACCUACCUACCCACUCGGUUUCAGUAGCCACACAUUUCGUUACGGAGCAGCUUAAUGUUAGCCGCUGUAAUAAAUUUGUCGAGUGAACGCGUUCGAAAAUCCUGUUGAACACCGCGAAUACCUACGUAAUAAAUGACCAAUAACAAUAUCGCAGUGUUAUAAUAUUAUUAUCAUCGUGCUUCGUCGUUUAUCUAACUGGUGCAGAGCUGCAGAGGUCGUUUAUAAUAUAUAGCUUUUGAUGACUGACUACUUUGUUAAAUUCAUUUUUUUCCCGUAUGAAUUGUUACUCACUCGACAUAUUUGCAUAAAACAAUGGAAUUAUUAAAACUAAAUUCAAACGUAGCUGUGAACAUUAUACCCAUUUAAACAUUUCUGUAUGUGAUUUAGAUGAUAAUAUUGUAUACCUGUUGUGGUGGUUCGUGCUCGAGACUUAAGCAUAGUGCGGAACUUCUGAUAUAAAAUUAAGGGUCAUCUCGCGGAUGCACACGACGACGACCACAAACGUUUUACCCGAAGAUCUUUUCCAUCCUGCGUGCGCUCUCUCGAAACGUGUGUAAUAUGUAUUAUCCGCGUGUACCUCCAUAUGUAUAUUUUACUUUUUAAACAUCGGCUAUGUUAUAUACCUAUAUGCGUGUAUGAGUACAAUAUCAUAUAGAGAACGCACCCGCAGCAGCAACCCACGCGCUUACGACUUGGUUGAAUAUACCUAAGUACUAGCUGCAGCUCAGAUUACAAUCGCGCGGGUAAUCAGCAAUCGCAUUAACUGUGUUGCUAAUAAUAUAAUAUGUUAUGCCAAACACUCCUUCAUGUUGGAUAUAUAAACUGUAUGAACAUACUCGACAACAUCAACUGGACUAAACGUUAUAAUAAUUACAUGAAAUACGAUAUAUUGGAUGUGCAAGAGCGUUGACUGAAUCAAAAUAAUAUUAUUUAAUACAUAAACCUGCCUACCUACCUACUUAUGUGUACCUAAUGUUUAAUUUACACUAAACGCUUUGUUGUACCGCUCACAUCAACAUUAAUAUAUUAUAUUAAUUUACAUUUGUAUAUUGAGUAGAAUAAUUUAUAUACAUCCAUCCAUAUUAUGUCUAAUUAAAAUGUAUUUUUUACAUAAUUAGUGUAUAUGUAAGAUUAGAAAACCGUUGUGUAUUUAAAACACGUAUAUUAAAAUAUGUAUGUUGCACGGGCAAUAAUUUAAUACAUCAUCAUAGGUACUAUCGUGUGGUUAAAUUAAUUAUUUUCCGAUUUGCCGCUGAAAGGAAAUCGAGCAAUCAGUUGUUUAUGCAUGAAUAUAAUAUAUACAUACACCGAAAGCCGGGUUAUAUAUACUAUAUUAUAAUCAUCAAUCAAUAUGUUGUAACUCGCCGAAUAUGAUAUAUAUCUACCGUAGUGUAAAUUAUCAAUUUAUAAACUUGUAUAGUUUAUUGAAUUUAUAAUAAACAUCAUCAUAAUCGCAUAUAAAGAUUAA